GAUCAUGGCUCAGGAUGAACGCUAGCUACAGGCUUAACACAUGCAAGUCGAGGGGAAACGAUAGAGAAAGCUUGCUUUUUCUAGGCGUCGACCGGCGCACGGGUGAGUAACGCGUAUCCAACCUGCCCAUCACUUGGGGAUAACCUUGCGAAAGUAAGACUAAUACCCAAUGAUAUCUCUAGAAGACAUCUGAAAGAGAUUAAAGAUUCAUCGCUGAUAGAUAGGCAUGCGUUCCAUUAGGCAGUUGGCGGGGUAACGGCCCACCAAACCGACGAUGGAUAGGGGUUCUGAGAGGAAGGUCCCCCACAUUGGUACUGAGACACGGACCAAACUCCUACGGGAGGCAGCAGUGAGGAAUAUUGGUCAAUGGGCGUAAGCCUGAACCAGCCAAGUCGCGUGAGGGAUGAAGGUUCUAUGGAUCGUAAACCUCUUUUAUAAGGGAAUAAAGUGUGGGACGUGUCCCGUUUUGUAUGUACCUUAUGAAUAAGGAUCGGCUAACUCCGUG
rnacentral:rRNA from 1 species